rnacentral:rRNA from 1 species
ACCAAAUAGAUACCCGGGUAGUCCACGCCCUAAACGAUGCGAACUGGAUGUUGGGUACAUUACGGUACUCAGUGUCGAAAGCUAAACGCGUUAAGUUCGCCGCCUGGGGAGUACGGUCGCAAGACUGAAACUCAAAAGGAAUUGACGGGGCCCGGCACAAGCGGUGGAGUAUGUGGUUUAAUUCGAUGCAACGCGAAGAACCUUACCUGGCCUUGACAUCUGUCGAAUCCUGCAGAGAUGCGGGAGUGCCGCAAGGAACGACAAGACAGGUGCUGCAUGGCUGUCGUCAGCUCGUGUCGUGAGAUGUUGGGUUAAGUCCCGCAACGAGCGCAACCCUUGUCCCUAGUUGCCAGCACGUAAU